UACGGAGGGUGCAAGCGUUGUUCGGAUUUACUGGGCGUAAAGGGCUCGUAGGCGGUCUAAACAGUCAGUGGUGAAAUCCCAGAGCUCAACUCUGGAACUGCUGCUGAAACUAUUAGACUAGAGAUGAUCAGAGGCAAGUGGAAUUCCUGGUGUAGAGGUGAAAUUCGUAGAUAUCAGGAGGAACACCGGCGGCGAAGGCGGCUUGCUGGGGUCAAUCUGACGCUGAGGAGCGAAAGCGUGGGUAGCAAAC
rnacentral:rRNA from 1 species